rnacentral:lncRNA from 1 species
GAAAAAUUUACAAAAAGGAGACACGAAAAAAUUUCACAAAAAAAAACGUCUGGGGAAAUCAUAAAAAAGGGCCGCCGCAAUUUCAAAACAAAAACCAAAAAAUCGUACCCCUACCCCCUGAGUUCAUCUUCUCCAAACGACCUCUCUGAAUUUCAUCUCUUCGACCCAACGCCCGGAAUCUGAAGCUUCAAAGCCAACCAACGACCCCUCAUCUCCUUCAUCUCUCAAUCACCAAACAAACAGCCGCCGCAAAGCUCACCGUGAAACCAGCUGCGCGCACACGCACGUAGAAGAACUUAACAGGCCUGAGCAGUGACCACAACAGCUGUGUUACUGGCCGAAGAACAUAACGAUAGACCCUGCCGGUCUCCCCUCCUCUCCAGAAACAUACUUUACGCGCACGAUCUAAACAUGAGGCAACGCCUCCUAGUUUCAAAGAGCAAAAGGAUUAAUCUAGCAAUCACGUUUUGGAUUCAGUAAUAUCUUUCAAAAAAAUAUCUUUCGUGUUCCGGUCCAGUUUGAAAUUCCGGCGAGUUUCAGGUUUGUCAGUGGUCGUUGUUCAAGGAGCUCCGUUUAAGUUUCUGCCGAGGUUCCGUCGCGGGUCCAACGCAUUCGACGUUAGUCGCGAGCAGGUUAUCCUCAACUCUGCCCCAUGUUCUUCGUAUUUUCUUCUGGUAAUAUGCAUAUGUGAUCUUGAAAUAUAAUGGUAGCUCAUGUGGAUCAUUUUUUAGUUGAACUUCACUGUGAUUUGUUUUCAAUGAUGACUUGGGUUAUUCCAAAGCAAGGAAUGUGUACGUUGGUAUUAGAUUCAUGGUAAUUGGAUUAUGAAAUAAUGAAUACGUUUCUGAAUGAUCUUUACAACCUGAGACCGGAAGAGGAUAGUCAUUAGAACAUUUCUCAUGUAUGAUUACAAAGAUUAAAGUAGGAGUAUCUUCAGUUUGCCUUAAUGAAGUAAUUCAUUUCUUUGAAAAUCAAUUGAGGUGUGUUGUGCAAUGACAAUUGCACGGCAUUCAUUUGUUUAAUUAUGUAUUGAUCCUUAGAAUCCGAAGUGUGUCAUCUAACAAACUCCAUAGCCUUGCAAAGUGCAAAUGUGUAGUUGCUUUAGGCACGUUUUUAAUAAUCUACCUUCCUAAACUCGGGUGAGCAUUGAUUGCGACGGGGUUCGAAACGCGUUUUCACGACGUCGUAAUUCUUAUAAAAUAAAUGAUGAUAGAACAGAGGUUCACAAAUUGAGGUGAGCCUCACCGAACAAAAAUAAAUAAAUGUGUGGCCCUCAAUAAAAGGUCAUUAAAAAUGAUUAGAAUUUGGGAGGGUUGUUUAGCGAAUUUCACGAUCUUCCCCAAAAUAAUAUUACGUUAGAAUCUUUAGGCGCGAUUUAAUUAAAUUACUUCCUUAAACUUGGGUGUGCAUUAAUGCGACCCAAAUCCAAAUCUCGACGAAGUCGAAAUGGGUUGACAACCACGGGUGCAUUGAUUGCGACAUGGUUCGAAAUGCGUUUUCACGACGUCGCAAUUCUUAUAAAAUAAACAAUGAUAAAAAGCGGUUCACGAAUAAAAGGCACAUAAGCUAGCAUGUAUUAAAAUCAGAUAAAAUCAAGGACAACAAUUAAGCGAUCGCGCUAGAACCACGGAACCCGUAAAUGCCUAACACCUUCUCCCGGGUUAUAGAAUUCCUUACUCGAAUUUUUGGUUCGCAGAUUGUAACAGAGUCAUAUUUUUCUCGGUUCGGGAUUCAACCGGUGACUUGGGACACCAUUAAUCUCCCAAGUGGCGACUCUGAAUAAUUAAUAAUCAAAUCCCGUUUCGAUUGUUCUUUAAGAGGAAAAACUCAUUUAUGCCCUCGCGGGUGCAACGAAAAAGGAGGUGUGACAGCUCCUCAGGCAAAGCAGGAGCAAUGUGUGUUGUUAAGAAAAGAAAUGGUAAAAUGAUGAUGGCCUUCUCAUCACCAUUUCAUUUCAUGACUAACAAUUACUCUGAAAUGCAAGCAGCCAUGUUUGGUAUUCUCUAGUAUUGUGAGCAAAACUGCCAAGAUUUAAUUGUAGAACUAGACUCUCUUCUAUAUGUCCAUAUGAUCCUAUGAGUAUACAACAUACCAUGGAGACUCAAAGAAGACGUCACUCGGAUUCAACAAAAGGUGAAACAACAUGACAUCAAGAUAAAACAUUGCUACAGGGAAGGGAACUAAGUGGCCGAUACUCUAGCCAAACAUGCUA